GAUGAACGCUGGCGGCGUGCCUAAUACAUGCAAGUCGAGCGAACAGACGAGGAGCUUGCUCCUCUGACGUUAGCGGCGGACGGGUGAGUAACACGUGGAUAACCUACCUAUAAUACUGGGAUAACUUCGGGAAACCGGCGCUAAUACCGGAUAAUAUAUUGAACCGCAUGGUUCAAUAGUGAAAGACGGUUUUGCUGUCAGUUCUAGAUGGAUCCGCGCCGCAUUAGCUAGUUGGUAAGGUAACGGCUUACCAAGGCAACGAUGCGUAGCCGAACUGAGAGGGUGAUCGGCCACACUGGAACUGAGACACGGUCCAGACUCCUACGGGAGGCAGCAGUAGGGAAUCUUCCGCAAUGGGCGAAAGCCUGACGGAGCAACGCCGCGUGAGUGAUGAAGGUCUUCGGAUCGUAAAACUCUGUUAUUAGGGAAGAACAAAUGUGUAAGUAACUAUGCACGUCUUGACGGUACCUAAUCAGAAAGCCACGGCUAACUACGUG
rnacentral:rRNA from 1 species